rnacentral:rRNA from 1 species
UUGACCUCAAAUCGGGUGAGACUACCCGCUGAACUUAAGCAUAUCAAUAAGCGGAGGAAAAGAAACUAACAAGGAUUCCCCUAGUAACUGCGAGUGAAGCGGGAAAAGCUCAAAUUUAAAAUCUGGUGGUCNUUGGCCAUCCGAGUUGAAUUUAGAGAAGCGUCUC